GCCCCCAUCGUCUAGUGGUUCA
rnacentral:siRNA from 1 species